AGUAGACUGAUUCAAACUUAAAGAGUUAUAACCAACCAAGAAACCAGUUGUUGUAUAUAUGAACCACAAAUGAAGUCUAUGGAAAACAUUUGCAAGUUUCUUUGCUUAGUAAGAAAGAAUUUGCACAACGGGAGAAUCAUAUCAAAUCUUAUAUAACUUCCCCCAAUUGUGUUACAUAAGAUUUAACUAUAGUUGACACUACCAUUUUAAACUAAUCAGUAGCAUAUUUAUAAUUACCUUCCCUAAAAAACUAUUAAUAAAACCAGGAGCACACUUACAAUUAAAAAAUCAAACACAACUGUAUCUUACACACAUGCAUACAGUACAGUGUUUAAAAGAAAAAAACAGAUUUUUUUUAUUAAUGGUCCACUUUCUUCAAAGAGGCCUCAGGGUAAUGGAUGUUCUUUCUAGAAUUCUUCAUCAGAAAAAUUUACCAAAUAAAUGUUAUAGCUUACAUAUCAUAGCAAACAAAAAUGCUAAGAAAAUGAGUUGAUUAAUUUCAAAAGUAACAAUAAUCUAGCUGAAGCAGUAAUGAACAAGUCACCUAAGAAACUUAAAACAUGUAAAAUUCAAAUGCCCAGAAACAUACAAACUGAUUAAAAUUAAAACUUUAUUUACUUAGGAUCAAACAUUUAAAACCAAAAUAAUCCUCAGAUUGAGAUUUCAUUUUCGAUUAUACUGUAAUUUCUUCCACUAUUCCCGUUCCCCCAAUAUUCCCAAAACUAAAAUUGUUUCUGUUUUGUAAACAUUCCACACAUCCAUAACAGAACAGGUAAAAAUAGGGUUAAAAAUGUAUUUGCAAAUAUGCAGUUCAAAUAAAUGCACUUCCCGUGAGAACACCACUAGGUGCUGAUCUUUACCACCGUAAAUAUAAACCUGAAUCCAGUAAUACUUUAAAACUGAAAUUAUAAUCAAGAACCACAAAUGAAAAUCAUUUUUACAGAAAAUUAAGUCCACAAUUUUUCAAAAAAUCGAAAAAACAGAGAAGAGCUUGAGGUCGGCCCAGGAGUACAACAUUAGAGUAAUGUUUUUCUUGAAAAUUGUGAGAAUUUAAGGUUAACACAAAGAAACCCCUCAAGAACGAGGAAAAUUAAAUCUAGAACCCAAAUGGCGUCCAACAAGAACAUUAGAUCUUGAAAAUGAAUAUUGCGCUUGCGCAGCCACCGCCCCGCCAGCUGCACAACUGCAGCUAGAGCCCGACCCCGCAAGAUCACGUGCUCCCAUGCAGCGCCGCCCGCAGCUCCGCAACCGCGCAGGCGCAGACACAACUCCCGCAGCCGCCAUAAUGCGGUCUUGACUCUUCAGAAAUACAAUAGUAAUUUAAGAAAAUGUGGUUUUAACAGCCCCUGGGAUUCACAUAUACCUUUUGGGGCGGAAGCUGAGGGAGGGGGAACCAAGUUCCUUCCUACAGAGCCGUCCCGCGCAGCCGUCCCCGACGUUGCCGCCUCAGCUUUUCGCGCGCUUCAGUCGCCGCGCCGCCGCUGCCACCGCCGCCGCCUCCGCAGAUUCAAAAACAAACCCGCUUCUCCCUUGCACGCGCCGGGGCCGUUAUGCAAAUUAAUAUGGGCGGGGCUCCGGGGGGUCGUGCUAUGUACCCCGCCCACUGUGCUAUCAGCCAAUAAGCUCAAGGACUAGCCAUUCCCCAUGCAAAUUCUGGUUUUUUAUUUGAAUGAGGGACAUUGGCCCCGCCUCCUGCGUGGAAAAGAGAAGGAAGCCCGAGGUGGUGGCGCUGCGUCUCUCAGUUGCAGUGUGAGGUGUGUUUUUUGAGUGGAUCUUCCUCAAUCAAUAAGUAGCACUUUGUGAGCGCCCUCUAUGAGGCUUAGAAAAGAAAGAAGGAAGGAGGUAUGAGACACCACACCUAGCCCUGAAGCUGCUCUUGGUUGGGGGUCAUCCCACACCUAAGAAAGAAAGAUGAUGGCUCUAAAGAAGAUGAAAAAGUCAUUGGUGUCAAUCAACUCUAGGCUCCAACUCAUUAUGAAAGGCAGAAAGUAGGCUGGGCACCGUGGCUCACGCCUGUAAUCCCAGCACUUUGGGAGGCCGAGGCAGGUGGAUCAUGAGGUCAAGAGAUCGAAACCAUCCUGGCCAAUGUGGUGAAACACCAUCUCCACUAAAAAUACAAAAAUAAGCUGGGCGGGGUGGUGCGCAACUGUAGUCUCAGCUACUUGGGAGGCUGAGGCAGGAGAAUGGCUUGAACCCGGGAGGUGGAGAUUGUAGUGAGUCGAGAUCGCGCCACUGCACUCCAGCCUGGCAACAGAGCGAGACUCCAUGUCAAAAACAAAAACAAAAACAAAGAAAGUGUAAAGUAUGUGCUGGGGUACAAGCAAACUCCAAAGGUGAUCAGACAAGGCAAAGUGAAAUUGAUUAUGCUCACCAACAACUGCCCCACUUUGAGGAAAUCCAAAAUAGGAUACUGUGCCAUGUUGGCCAAAAGUGGUGUUCAUUACUACAGUGGCAAUAAUAUUGAAUUGGACACAAUGUGCAGAAAAUACUGCAGAGUAUGUGCACACUGAUCCAGGUGAUUCUGAUAUCAUUAGAGGCAUGCCAAACAGAUUGGUGAAAAGUAAAUGAUGCAAAAUGUUUCUUUUAC